AUGAACACAUACUCAGUCCCAGUUACGCUUUAUCUAUCAAGAAUAAAUCACAUUGUCACAAUUAUUUCAUGAGAAGCAGUAAAAAUAUUUAAUUCCAACUUGAUUGGCAACAGUGUAUAUAU